GUGGGUGUGGCUCAGGUGGUAGAGCUUUGUCCACUAAUCGUAGGCGGUUGGCGGUUCGAUUCCCAGCCCACA